UCUGUGCUGCAGUGCAGCCCUGAUUUUUACACAACAUAAACAUUCGGUCGGAGGAGAACUUUCCGGGACAAUAAGAGCUCCGCCGGAGCUUCGCGACAGGACCGGGACACGGGAGAUGCUCUGAUAACGGGCGGAUGUGGAGCAGCCAACGCCGGAAUCGCCGCCAUUGCCGCCAUGAAGAUCCUUUCCCGUCUGGGCCGCCUGAUGCGGUACACCGUAGCCUAUGCGGCCAUCACACACUGCACCUUUGAGUACAUCGGCGACUUUGUCCUGUGCAAAGGACCCUCCAUGGAGCCCACCCUCUACUCGGACAACGUACUGCUCACCGAGCGCCUGUCGAAACACUGGCGAACCUAUCAACCGGGCGACAUUGUGAUCGCUGUUUCGCCCAUCAACGCCGGCCAGUUCAUAUGCAAACGGAUCGUGGCCGUGUCCGGUGACCAGGUGCUCACCCAGAAGCCGAGCCCCAUUGAGGCGGAGUACAGCGGUCGUCAGGAUAGCGCCGCCAGCAAGAAAAAGCCUGUGAUGACCAAGGACUAUGUGCCGCGCGGUUACGUUUGGAUCGAGGGCGACAACAAGGGCAACAGCUCGGAUUCGCGUUACUACGGACCCAUUCCGGUGGGUCUAAUCCGGAGCCGCGUGCUGUGCCGCAUCUGGCCGAUCUCCGAGGUCACCGGGCUCUAGACUGGCUACCCAAUGAAGUUUUAAACCAAUUGGACCCAUUUAAAUUGCCUUUUUUAUAGGAAAUUCUGUUGAUAGUCUGCAAUUCUGCCCGAAAACCAUCGAUUUUCGUUUAAAAUGGUUUAAAACAAAAAGACUAAAUAAAAGUCAACUUAAUCUUAAGGUUUAAAAAUUUUAAUAAUUUGUAAUUUUGUUUCAUAGCAGUCUGAGAGUUACAUAGAUUUUUAAAGCUAUGUAUAUAAAUUUUGGUUAUAUAUUUUUUGGAAAUCUAUAAAUAUUUUAUUGUCAGCUUGACAGCAAUUCCCGAAUUUGGUCAGGUUUUUAAAACGACUGGUUUUGUACUAUUCAAGAAACUUGUAAUUACAAGUUUCACGAUAUAAAUCUUUUCUUUUCUUUAUAAAAUAUGUAUAUUUAAAUUUUG